UCAUUGAUUCAGUAAUAUAGCAGUACAAUCCAUAGGGUGUGUGGUGUGUUAGAGAGGGGGGAAGAAAGAGAGAGGGAUAGAAAAAAAAAAAAACAGAGAAUCGGCGUCCUCAGUUCACUGGCCAGUUACAUCCUGUCUCCAGCAAAAAGGGACUUCCCUGCUCCCCCCAGCAUUUCCACUUUUCUUGGUAUGACCUUAUUCAAGAGUGAACAUCGCGGCCAGAGACGUAUAAGCAUGGCUGGGGAAUUCAAGACCAACAGACCCAAGGCUGGACAUAAGCGACCAGGCAGUACUGUGUACGGGAGCAGUUUUGACCUGGACUACGACUGUUACCAGGAUGACUUUUAUGACAGGGUGUACGAUUACCAGCGGGUCCCAGCCUCCCUGCCUCCUGCCUCACGCGGCCCCUCCCUGCCCAAGCGGUCUCGGCAGUCGGACGCAGCAUUCCGGAGGAGCAAAGAGAGUCUCUCGUCGAAGGGGAGGUCAAGCAGCUCCUCCAACAGAGCAAAAUUGAAGGCAGAUGAGCUGCAGACCAUAAAGAGGGAGCUGACUCUGAUCAAGGUGCAGAUCGAUGGCCUCUUGGAGAACCUGGACAGGAUGGACAGACAGAGGAAAGACCAGACAGAGCUGGACAGCAGUGCAGGGGGCUCUCCUUACCGGGCCUCGGCCAGCAGCCCUGACGGAUCCCUGCCCAGCCCCAGCCUUCGGCGCCGGAGCCAGCGAGAGCGUGGGGAGAGCCCGGAGCUCGGAGAGGCCAGUGACGAGGACAACGACACGGUUAAUAACCACAGCUCAGACCAGGAGGACACCAUGUAAACACAGAAAUCAGAUUGGGAGACCUUACUUUUGCAGUGGUCAGUUAUGUAGCAGCGCACAAAGGAACCCAGUAACGAAACAGAAGGAAAGUGAACAUCAUGCACGGAUGUCCCUUCUUGCAGAGGGAGCUCAAGCCCUCAUCUACCAAAUGGGUUUCCAAAGGGAAGAAUGAUUGUUAUAAAUUGCCUAUUCUGUGUAUUGAUUUUUCCUGGUGAAUCUUUUUGGUUAUAAUCUGAUAGUCUGAGCACCUGACUAGGGGCCCCAUCCUUUUAAUGUUAGAAUGUGUUUAAGCAACUUGGUACUGAUAACACCUUUCAAUUUUUAAUCAAAUGCAGUUAAAUAGCAUAACGGUUUUAGCAGCUAAGUUAUUAUCGUAUGUACAGCUGACUGGGGGGGCACUUGGUAGAGAGUUCUCUCUAAAAUUGUGCAUGAGAAGGAUCAGCUGUACAUAUUAACUCCUUUUUAGUUAAGCAGAAAAAUAUAUAUUUUCUUAACAAGUACAAUUGCAUCCCACAAAAAUUUUACAGCUUCAAAAUGGUUUGUGUAAGAAUUUUGGGGUAGUUUUUUUUUGUUAGAAAAUAAGAUUUACUGGAAUGUUUUUGAAGACGUUGCUUUGAUUAACUGGUUUAUUCUUGUAGUAAGUUGCUAUACAAUUAUAACAAGUAUUUGAAUAUGUCAACCAUGGGGGGAGGGACUACUAUAGUAAGUAGCUGUAAAUGACAUUUUAAUGAUUUUUAAACAUUUCCCUUAAUAGUGUAUGUUUUUUUGCAGUCAUUCCAAGUGGUUCUGGGUUCUCCAGAUAAGCUCAAAGCCCGGUCACAACAGAUUUAGAGAACACUGGAGAACCAGAAAUGGAACCACUCAGAAUUAUUGCACACACCAUAACAUAGUAAGGCAAAUAAAAAAAGACAUUUGAAUGUUCUUGUAAUGUAAGUUUCUAUUUCAAAUUAGUUACCCCUAAAUAGUGUUUCUGCCAUUUUAUUAAUGGAGCCUGGAGUAAAUGCUUUGAAAAUGUACCAGGAUUUAAAUAUUACAACAUGCUGCCCAUAUCAUUGGAGUUUUUGCAGAGGACAUUUCUAGAAGGUAGGGGAGCAAACAGCAAGAGAAGAGAGCACUGGAGCAUUUCCCUUCCAACAGCAGUAUGCAAGUGUAAUUCUGAGCUCUACAAUGAGUAAGGACUGGGAGGUCUUUGGACGAUCCUAUAUAUAGUCUUCUGGUCUGAUUGUAUUGGCUUUGCUGGGGUGAAGUGUAAUAAUAUUCCAAAAUAUUGUAAACUUUAUUGUAUCUGUAGGCACUACUGUACCUGAUUUUAUUAUUGUUCUUCUGUUUUUGUAUUUAUUUAUUUGUAUUUUAUUCACAGUGAUGUGGUAGAUUUUCGUUUUUUUUGUGUUCAUGAAAUGCUGAAUGCGGUUAGUAAAGGUAUUUUCUUAUUGAU